ACGGAAGGCAGCAGUGAGGAAUAUUGGUCAAUGGGCGAAAGCCUGAACCAGCCAAGUCGCGUGAAGGAUGAAGGUAUUAUGUAUUGUAAACUUCUUUAGCAGCAGAGUAAUAAGGGGGUCGUGACCUCCGAUGCAAGUAUGCUGAAAAUAAGGAUCGGCUAACUCCGUGCCAGCAGCCGCGGUAAUACGGAGGAUCCGAGCGUUAUCCGGAUUUAUUGGGUUUAAAGGGUGCGCAGGCGGUUUUUUAAGUCAGUGGUUAAAUCGUGAGGCUCAACCUCAUCACGCCAUUGAUACUGGAAGACUUAAUUGCGGUUGAGGUUGGCGGAAUUCGUCGUGUAGCGGUGAAAUGCAUAGAUAUGACGAAGAACACCGAUUGCGUAGGCAGCUGACCAAGCCGUAAAUGACGCUCAUGCACGAAAGUGCGGGGAUCGAACAGGAUUAGAUACCCUGGUA
rnacentral:rRNA from 1 species